rnacentral:rRNA from 1 species
AAUGAACGCUGGCGGCAGGCCCAACACGUGCAAGUCGAACGGAUCCUUCGGGAUUAGUGGCGGACGGGUGAGUAACGCGUGGGAACAUACCCUUUGGUACGGAAUAGCCUCGGGAAACUGGGAGUAAUACCGUAUGUGGUCGAGAGACGAAAGAUUUAUCGCCAAAGGAUUGGCCCGCGUUGGAUUAGGUAGUUGGUGGGGUAAUGGCCUACCAAGCCGACGAUCCAUAGCUGGUUUGAGAGGAUGAUCAGCCACACUGGGACUGAGACACGGCCCAGACUCCUACGGGAGGCAGCAGUGGGGAAUUUUAGACAAUGGGGGAAACCCUGAUCUAGCCAUGCCGCGUGAUCGAUGAAGGCCUUAGGGUUGUAAAGAUCUUUCAGGUGGGAAGAUAAUGACUGUACCACCAGAAGAAGCCCCGGCUAACUCCGUGCCAGCCGCCGCCGUAA